rnacentral:rRNA from 1 species
CGCUCAACAGCUAGCCCAUCUAAUAAAAACAACAAACCACUAUUUAUACCCCCAAAUGCACUAAAUGCCUAAAUUAAACAAACCAUUUUUCCCCCCUAGUAUGGGCGACAGAAAAGGGUCCACGGAGCAAUAGAGAAAGUACCGCAAGGAAAAGCUGAAAGAGAAAUGAAACAACCCAGUAAAGCUUAAAAAAGCAGAGUCUACCACUCGUACCUUUUGCAUCAUGAUUUAGCCAGUGUAGCCCGAGCAAAGAGCGCUUUAGUUUGACUACCCGAAACUAGGGGAGCUACUCCAAGACAGCCUAUUAAUAGGGCCAACCCGUCUCUGUGGCAAAAGAGUGGGAAGAUCUUUGAGUAGAGGUGACAGACCUACCGAACCUAGUUAUAGCUGGUUGCCUGAUAAUUGAAUUUAAGUUCAGCCCCCCUGCUUCUCCUCUCAACUCAGCUCUACCCACACUGACACAAAGAAGCAAGGGGAGUUAGUCAAAGGGGGUACAGCCCCUUUGAACCAAGAAACAACUUUACCAGGAGGGUAAAGAUCAUAAUAACACAAGGUAAAAUAUUCUGGUGGGCCUAAAAGCAGCCACCCCCAAAGAAAGCGUUAAAGCUCAGAUAUUCUACCGCCCCCCUCUUAUACCGAUCACCCCAUCUUAUCCCCCUAAUUAUACCAGGCCGCCCCAUGCCCGCAUGGGGGCGACCAUGCUAAUAUGAGUAAUAAGAGAGCCAUGCCUCUCUCCUGGCACCCCUGUAAGUCAGAACGGACACCCCACCGACCCUUAACGGCCCCAAAUAAAGAGGGCACUGAACAACAGACUAGAAGACUAGAAAAACGUCCAGAAAUUAACCGUUAACCCCACACAGGCCUGCCCCCAAGGAAAGACUAAAAAAAAGAGAAGGAACUCGGCAAACACAUAAGCCUCGCCUGUUUACCAAAAACAUCGCCUCUUGCAAAACUAAAAAAUAAGAGGUCCCGCCUGCCCUGUGACUAUAUGUUUAACGGCCGCGGUAUUUUGACCGUGCGAAGGUAGCGCAAUCAUUUGUCUCUUAAAUGGAGACCUGUAUGAAUGGCACAACGAGGGCUUAACUGUCUCCCCUUUUUUGUCAAUGAAAUUGAUCUACCCGUGCAGAAGCGGGUAUAGCCUCAUAAGACGAGAAGACCCUAUGAAGCUUUAGACACCCAAGCAGCUCAUGUCAAACACCCUCACACAAGAGACCAAACCCAAUGAGCCCUGCCCUAAUGUCUUUGGUUGGGGCGACCGCGGGGUAAUAAAAAACCCCCACGUGGAAAGGGAGAACCUCUCCUAGAACAGUGAGCCACAGCUCUAGUCAACAGAACCUUCUGACCAAUAAGAUCCGGCAAUGCCGAUCAACGGACCGAGUUACUCUAGGGAUAACAGCGCAAUCCUCUUUUAGAGCCCAUAUCGACAAGGGGGUUUACGACCUCGAUGUUGGAUCAGGACAUCCUAAUGGUGCAGCCGCUAUUAAGGGUUCGUUUGUUCAACGAUUAAAGUCCUACGUGAUCUGAGUUCAGACCGGAGUAAUCCAGGUCAGUUUCUAUCUAUGACAUGCUCUUUUCUAGUACGAAAGGACCGAAAAGAGGGGGCCCCUGUUCUAUACACGCCCCUCCCCCACCUAAUGAAGACAACUAAAAUAGGCAAGAGGGCAUCCCUUCUCUCCUGAAGAUGGACAGAAU